GGAGGGUUGGCCGAGUGGUUUAUGGCGCCAGUUUUGAAAACUGGUGGGCGAAAGUCCGCAUGGGUUCGAAUCCUAUACCCUCCGC
rnacentral:tRNA from 1 species